rnacentral:rRNA from 1 species
UGAGGAAUAUUGGUCAAUGGGCGCGAGCCUGAACCAGCCAAGUAGCGUGCAGGAUGACGGCCCUAUGGGUUGUAAACUGCUUUUGUAUGGGGAUAAAGUCAAUCACGUGUGAUUGUUUGCAGGUACCAUACGAAUAAGGACCGGCUAAUUCCGUGCCAGCAGCCGCGGUAAUACGGAAGGUCCGGGCGUUAUCCGGAUUUAUUGGGUUUAAAGGGAGCGUAGGCCGGAGAUUAAGUGUGUUGUGAAAUGUAGACGCUCAACGUCUGACUUGCAGCGCAUACUGGUUUCCUUGAGUACGCACAACGUUGGCGGAAUUCGUCGUGUAGCGGUGAAAUGCUUAGAUAUGACGAAGAACUCCGAUUGCGAAGGCAGCUGACGGGAGCGCAACUGACGCUUAAGCUCGAAGGUGCGGGUAUCGAACAGG